rnacentral:rRNA from 1 species
GGUGGUGUCUGCACGAGCGCACCCCUGUUGUUAGUUGCUAACAUUAAGUUGAGCACUCUAACAGGACUGCCGCGGUUAACGCGGAGGAAGGUGGGGAUGACGUCAAAUCAUCAUGCCCCUUAUGUCCUGGGCAACACACGUGCUACAAUGGGCAGUACAGAGAGAUGCAAAGCCGCGAGGUGGAGCAAACCUCAAAAACUGCCCCCAGUUCGGAUUGCAGGCUGAAACUCGCCUACAUGAAGUUGGAGUUGCUAGUAAUCGCGAAUCAGAAUGUCGCGGUGAAUACAUU